UAGCCUCUUGGGGUGGGGGUGGGGUCAUUAGAUUUAUGCUUUAUUUUUCCUUUGUUUUUGACUCCAUCUCUAAUUUGGUUUGGCUUACAUGGGUAGACCAGGAGAUACCUGCCCAGUGGAUUCCAUCCAAUUUGCCUCAUGUGGUGGACUGCAUUGUUUAUAUGAGAUACCCAAAUAGCAUGUGUUGUGCAAUCCUUAACUAAGUUAUAUUCCAAGUACUUGGUUUCAAAGAAUCUUGCAAAUGAGAGGAAGUUCACCAUUUUAUGAGUUUGAUUACUGUUGCAAAACAAAAAAAAAAUUUAACUAUCUCAGGGGUAAAUGAUUAAAUGAUUUAAAGAUUCCUCUUUAAUCUCUACCUAUUUUGUAGAGGAUAUCUGUUUGUCUCUUUUAUUCUAAUUAAUUAUAGUAAAAUGCACUUUGAUAUAUCAUACAUAGAUGGAGUAUAAUUUCUCAUUCUUCUCGUUGUACAUGAUGUAGAAUCCCACCAAUCUUAUAGUUCAUAUGUACAUAGGGUAAUAAUAUCUGAUUCAUUCUACUGUCCUUCCUACCGAAUACUCCCUCCCCUCCCUCACUCCCCUCCACCUAAUCUAAAAUAACUCUAUUCUUCCCCAGCUCCCCUCUCUUAUUUUGAAUAAGCAUCUGCAUAUCAGAGAAAACAUUAGGCCUUUGGUUUGGGGAGACUGGCUUAUUUCACUUAGCAUGAUAGUCUCCAGCUCUAUCUAUUUACCAGCAAAUGCCAUAAUUUCAUUCUUAUUUCCAUUUUCUUUAUCCAUUCAUCUGUUGAAGGGCACCUUGGUUGGCUCCAUAGUUUAGCUAUUGUGAGCUGAGCUGCUAUAAAUAUUGAUGUGGCUGCAUCUUAAUUUUAUAUACAUAUAUUAUAUCUUUUGCUACAUUGUAAAUGCCUUGAAGGCAAGAUGGGUAUCUAUUUAUUUUUAUGUGCCUUCGAACCCCUGGAAUCAUCAUCUAAAGAAACAAGGCAGAUGGGUAUGCACCCUGGACUGGGGCUCAGAGGGCCUGAACUAGAAUCCUGAAUCUAGUGUCUCCUGGCUGUAGGAGCUGGUGAGGCUCCAGCUGGGCCUGUUUUCCUCACAAGUGAAGUAAUAAUUCCCAAGGCCACCCUUUUCUGAUGGCUCUGAUUCUCAGAGCCAUCUAGAUCUUGACUUAGAACUAGAGUUAUUUUGGUUUUUAUCACUGAUUUUUUUCUCUGUUCCUAUAUUUCAAAAACCACUCAUCUAAAUUUCUCCAGUUUGGUAGAAGUUAUUGAUUUUACCUCUAUAACACAUCUAAAGGAAUCCUGAAUGAGAAGUUACUGUAAAUUACUAUUAUAACCAUUAAGUGUUAAGUUCCUUAAGGGAAUUAUUCUCCAAUCAGAAUAAGAAUGGCUUAAUCUAUUUUCUUUAAAUCUAUUUUCAAAAAAAAAGAAAGAAGAAGAAGAAGAAGAAGAAGAAGAAGAAAGAAAUUAAACAAGCAAGAAAUUCCCGAAAGAGGAUGAAAAGAUUGGAAUCUUUAUUUACAAUGGGAAGAAUAAGACUUCUCUGUCCUCAGCUUGUGAGAAACUUUGAUCAACAAGUCUUUAUUCUGAAGUUCCUGGGAUUCAAAUGAUAAACAUUCUAAAUUCCAACCAUCCAGGAAGGCAGCUUUCAUAGGAAAAAAGAGAAGCCACAUCCUCAUCUGAAGUUUGGCUACAGAGGUCAGGUCUCUUGGUGGGAUUCAUGAUCUUGUUGAGAUUUUGACUAUCCCUGAAGCUCUUGAUAGUUUUGAAAAUCCAAAAGUGAAAAACAAUAUGCUAGGGUAUCAGAAACAUAAAUUAUAACUUUAAGUAAAUAAGAGUACCAACUUGGAAACACCAUAUCGGAGGCAAAAAUGAAAACAGAGAAAGAGGAGGCGGGGUGGCUGCAGAAGGGCCUGAGAAGCAGAUGCCAUCAGACUCAAACCGAGAAGGCCAUUGAAAGGGGACAGUGCCAUGAAGAGUCAAGGGGCUUCUGAGGGAUCACCAAGAGGCUCCACUCCACCUCUGCUUCCUACAAGUAAUGUGGUCAUAGUGCAUGGCUGUUGGUUUCUCUGUUUAAAAGAAAAAUGCAUUUUCUCAGUAAUGAUGUUCGCAUUCUGCUCUCCGCGAUACCCACUUCUAAAGGCCAUUUCAUCAUCAAGAUAAAGUUCUGCUAACUCUUGGGACACAAGAGCUAAAGGAUGUGGCUGGUUACCAUGACUUGUGCUUACCUCUCAGAGUGUGUCAUUUGGUGCACACGCCUAAAAAAUGUGUGAACAAAAGUGUCUAGAUUUAUUUUUACAUUGGCGAUUUGAUCCCGUGAGGGGAGAAAUGGCAACAUCAAUGACUGUGCAGAAAUGACAAAACAGCAUUUGAGCUCUCAGUUGGCAAAGAUACAGAGGCCACAUCAAG